UGCCAGCAGCCGCGGUAAUACGGAGGGUGCAAGCGUUAAUCGGAAUUACUGGGCGUAAAGCGCGCGUAGGUGGUUUGGUAAGUCAGAUGUGAAAGCCCCGGGCUCAACCUGGGAAUUGCAUUUGAAACUGCCUCACUAGAGUAUGGUAGAGGGAAGUGGAAUUCCGGGUGUAGCGGUGAAAUGCGUAGAUAUCCGGAGGAACAUCAGUGGCGAAGGCGACUUCCUGGACCAAUACUGACACUGAGGUGCGAAAGCGUGGGUAGCAAACAGGAUUAGAUA
rnacentral:rRNA from 1 species